UCAGGCCUAACAUAUGCAAGUCGAGCGGACAGAAGGGAGCUUGCUCCCGGAUGUUAGCGGCGGACGGGUGAGUAACACGUGGGUAACCUGCCUGUAAGACUGGGAUAACUCCGGGAAACCGGAGCUAAUACCGGAUAGUUCCUUGAACCGCAUGGUUCAAGGAUGAAAGACGGUUUCGGCUGUCACUUACGGAUGGACCCGCGGCGCAUUAGCUAGUUGGUGGGGUAAUGGCUCACCAAGGCGACGAUGCGUAGCCGACCUGAGAGGGUGAUCGGCCACACUGGGACUGAGACACGGCCCAGACUCCUACGGGAGGCAGCAGUAGGGAAUCUUCCGCAAUGGACGAAAGUCUGACGGAGCAACGCCGCGUGAGUGAUGAAGGUUUUCGGAUCGUAAAGCUCUGUUGUUAGGGAAGAACAAGUGCGAGAGUAACUGCUCGCACCUUGACGGUACCUAACCAGAAAGCCACGGCUAACUACGUGCCAGCAGCCGCGGUAAUACGUAGGUGGCAAGCGUUGUCCGGAAUUAUUGGGCGUAAAGGGCUCGCAGGCGGUUUCUUAAGUCUGAUGUGAAAGCCCCCGGCUCAACCGGGGAGGGUCAUUGGAAACUGGGAAACUUGAGUGCAGAAGAGGAGAGUGGAAUUCCACGUG
rnacentral:rRNA from 1 species